CCCUUAGAUGUUCUGAGCCGCACGCGCGCUACACUGUUCGACGCAGCGAGUCUUAACCUUGACCGAAAGGUUUGGGUAAUCUUCAGCAAAGUCGAACGUGAUGGGGAUCGAUCAUUGCAAUUAUUGAUCGUGAACGAGGAAUUCCUAGUAAGUGCAAGUCAUCAGCUUGCGCUGAUUACGUCCCUGCCCUUUGUACACACCGCCCGUCGCUACUACCGAUUGAAUGGUUUAGUGAGAUCUCUGGAUUGACGCUGGCUAGGGGGCGACCCUUGGCCAGACUGUUGAGAAACUGCUCAAACUUGAUCAUUUAGAGGAAGUAAAAGUCGUAACA
rnacentral:rRNA from 1 species